UGUAGGAGUGAGCCUGCUCGCGAUAGCGCUGGGUCAGUCAGCACAUGUGUUUCUGACUCACCGCUAUCGCGAGCAGGCUCACUCCUACA
rnacentral:misc_RNA from 2 species